CGCGGGAUGGAGCAGCCUGGUAGCUCGUCGGGCUCAUAACCCGAAGGUCGUCGGUUCAAAUCCGGC
rnacentral:tRNA from 1 species